GCUAGCACUCAAUCCACUGAGCCGUACCAGCCAGGGGGGGAUGAAAACUUUUAAAAAGAGACAAAGGCCAGCCUUUGUGCCACUGGAGCUGAGGCUAUAUCAUGAAAAUACAACCGUGUCAAGUUGACGACAGUCUAAGGUACCUUGCUAAUAAUUAGCACUUCUUUACUGAUAGAAACGGUGGGGUUGGGAUCAGCCGUAAGUAAUCUUUGCUGCUUGUUCCUAAUAUUUCUUAAAAGCUCCCUGAAAGGAUGAUUACCUUUUCCAUAGGAAAAAAAAUUUGUAUUACCCUACUCCAUCAACAUUUUUCAUCUUUAAAACUUUUUUUAAUUACAAAACUAUGAAUUCUGCCCAGAUGUUGUUUCAAGACCAUACACUUGCAAAAUAUUAAUUCUAGUGAAGCAUCAGUUUGUAGAAUAGUGGUCAAAACUCUGAAGACCCUGCUUCUAAUAUACAUGAGAUUAAAAUGCCAUAACUAAGCUAUUUCUAUUCUCUAAUCAAUUCCAUUCUUUUAUAUCCGUUGCCUUGAGUUUUCAAAAUACCCGAUUUAGGAUUGUUUGUGGAUGUGUAAUCUUGGUCCCCUGAACUGUGAAAUGAAUUACAUUUUCCUUUGUUAUCCCAAAGGCAGACAUUUGGCCUUUCUACUGUUUAUCAUAGUUUCUCAGUUGUGUGCCCUUUCAUUCUAAUUUGCUAUACCUUACUCUAGAUGGUUGCAUAUGUAAAAAUAGAAAUAAAAAGCCAAGAAAUGUUCACUUUAAAAAACAUUCCGUUGAAAUUUCCUCUUGGUUUAAAUAUAUUUUAAUUUUAUAUCUCUUUUAGUAAAGUAAUGACUAAAUCAUUUGUAUUUUUUAUUUAUAAAGUGCUUCACUUGUGUUAUUGCCCCUGAAUAGAGACAUGGCUGACAAGUGUGGGAUGUUGAGCUGCGUAGCACUGGAGAUAAACUCGGAGAUACUCUUGGUAUCCUAUCACCCACAGGCAUCACGUUGGCAUAAGGACAGAGAAGAACAGAAUGGACUAAAAAUAUCAAAAAUUUCAAAUAAUUCAUAUCUAUUAUAAGAGAAACUAAAUUUCUACAUAAUUUUUUAAAUCUGUGUAUUUAUUGGGUACUUUUCUGGGAGCCCUACUCUUUUAUAUGGUGUAAGAACUAAGUAUUGGUUUUGAAAUAGGUUGAUGUCCAUCAUCAUAUCAUCGUCAUCAAAGAGCACUAACCUGUGAAAUAAUCUGAAUUCUUUCUAUAGCUACUGCUAACCUGAUGCACGAUGGUGAACAAAUAAUAUCUUUUUGGAGAUUCAUUUCCAAAAUUGUCCCAAUGAGUGUCAUACUCUCUCCUCAGCAUGAUUCUGUAAGGCCAAAAUAAAAUACCUGUAAAGAUAACUUCUCAGAAAGCACAACAUUAAUGCAAGGUGGUAUUAUUAUUAUGGAGGAGGAGCAAUGAUAUGGUGGUAAUGCAUGCAGGCUCUGGAGCCAGACUUUCCCGGUUCAAAUCAUGACUCUUACUAGAUCUUUGACCUUGGACAAGCUACUUUAUCUCUGCAUGUCUCAAAUUCCUCAACAGUAAACAGACCGAAUAACAAUUCUUACCUCACAGUGUUGUUAUGAGGAUUAAAUAAGAUUAUAAUGUAAAGCACUUAGCACAGGGCCCAAGAUAUGUUAAGUGUCCCUUGCCCUUAAAUAAUAAUAUUUCAAUAUAUAAUACAGUAUCAAAUUUUGAACCACUCUGCGAUGCUUGAUUCAGAGCACUCAAAGCUUAUUAAACAAAAUUCUGGCUGAAAUUUUCUGAUUCAAAUUACAAAUGCCCUUAUGGAAGAGAUUUAUUCCUUUUAGAAAGAGGAGGUCACGAGGACACUGCCUGAGCUACCAGAAAUCCCAAUAUAUAUUUGCAAGUUCCUUUUAAGCUGUGGUAGCAUCUUUCUGAACCUGUAAGUUCCAACUGCUUUUAAAGGAAUCACUUGAUUCUCCUUCCUCCCAGAAAUAUUUCCAUCGCAUAAUAUCAUCAUUCGAUUAAAUGAAAACUCCCAAAAUCAUGGCAGUUUUCAAGACUAAAUUCAUUUAUACCUUGUUUUGAAUUUAUGGGAAAUCCACGCCCACCUUAGCCCUACCUCUGGGUAAUAUUUUCUCCAUGACAGGGCCUCACUGGGGAAAUUCUAACUGAAGAUAACAGCAUAGUGUAUUAAAUGUUGCCAGUAUUCCAUUUAAUAUUAAACAACUGCAUGGCAGGCUAUUUAAAUACCUAAGUUAAAAGUGAUACAUUAAUAUUGAGUAUGCUGCUACUGUAUAAAGUCCAUUCUCCUAGUGAUUUCCAACAAGCACCAUUUAAGUGCCAACCUACUAUUACAAGAGUUUACUAUUUUAUUUUUGCUCCAAAAUGGCAUCAACAAUGAUGGGGUGCUUCCAGGGGAUUGUUGAACAGAAUUUUUACAACAAAAGAGCAAGCUUAGGGAACAGCAAAAUAUCAACAGUAGUAAUUGCAAUGUUUGUGUUAGCACUCCUCAAAGCCACACACACUCAUCAAACAAGCAGCUUUAAAGCAUGCGCAAUUGCAACUGAAGUGUAACUGACUUCCGCACAACUGGCGGAUUUCCUGUCCAAAAAUUACCGUGUGGUCAUCUGUAGCUGAAUGGUUACAAAUCAUCAAGUUAGUAAGAUAUCCCCAACCCAAUAUAUCUGUUUAAAAAAAUAAAAAGGAAAAGGAGUCAAAGUGACCAAACCUCGUCAUCUGCCAAUUCUCUGUGACUUCCUUUUAUUCCUUUUUCUUUUCAUUGGGAAAGAAAGGAAAAACAAAAACAAACUAAAACCCUCUCUCUGUAAUAUCUGUGUGUUCAAAGUGUCGAGUCCCCGUGAGCUCAUUUACGGCUUUUUUUUUUUUUUUUUUCCUUUACUUUGCUUGUCUUGCCUGCUAAUUUCUUACUGGAGGAAAUCAGCGCUUUCAGGACGAGCUGUUCCUUUAACCCCUUUGACUGGCUCCUCCUUGGAGGCGAGCGAGGCGUGCUGCAGUGUCUGGGAACCCACCUAGAGGGCCCCCUUGACGCCAGCACAUCCCCUGUCAGGCAGCAGUCUCUGCAGCCGGUAGGGCUGCUGCAGAGUUAAUGUACAGGACCACGGAGCCUGCAAGUGUCCUGAGCUGCUCGGAGCGGCACAGCCCAGGGCAGACAAGGCGGCUGGCUGCGACGACUCCAAAGGUUCUGCUGGAAAUUCGGCGCUGGGGGACCCCAGCAGGAGCCUGUUGCCAUUGUGUUUUAAAAGCAUGCAAGGUCUGUAUGGCUUGGGCAUGAGAAUCUUUCAGAAGAUGUCAGAGCACCAGAGUAAAUGACACCUAUUGGGGAAUUGAAUAGGGGACAAAAAAGAGAGAGAAAAGAGAGAAGAAAGACAGCGGGAAAGAAAUUCUUAGACAACGUCUGACUCGCAGCUGUGAAAUUCAUUUUCUUAACAAGGCAAAAUAUGAAAAGCCCGCACAUGGUUUUGAUAACAACAAAUUAAAGGGGUUUCUGCAGCGAAAGGAUCAAUAGCUUAGUCAUUUUACUUAAAGAGAGCAGACAGCCUUACUGUGGGGUUAGGCAGCUGAGAUGAAUUUUCUUCAUGACACCACCUUCUGAAGUCAUAAUGGUAACUGAUGGUAUUCCUGCCCUGCAAAGCAGAAAUUGCUCAUUGCCUUCCUACUUUUGCAGUUGAAAACCAGCAAUUCUGAGAUUUGGGGAAGAAGUUGGCUUUGAUUGUACAUGGUUUCUAGCCCCUCUGCCCAGGUCUUUGUCCGACACGUCUCAGAAGGCAGCACUGCGUUCAAGUGACCACACAUGAAUAUGUGCCUAAGAAAGAAGAAAAAGCAAUAUUCAUUUCUAAAGGACAGCAUGGCAAAGCAACCUGAAGUUUUCCACUUUCCUUCUAAUACGUCUUUAACAAGGAUAACAAGAAACUGUCUUUUGACUCCCUUUUUUCCACAUUCCAGAGUCCUUCUUGCAAGGAUGCAUUAAUUUACACUCUAGGCAGUUGGAUUUUUACCAGGACAAUAUUUGCCACCAUUUAGGAUAAACGAAUGAACUGGUUAUUUUAGUGUUUUGACUAAUUAGUGGAACCUAAAUGGAUGGACUCCUACCUGCAGUGCUCUGUGAUGUUUCUUUCUUCAAACCCCGGAAGGGCUUUUUUUGUUGCUCUUUGUUUUUUGGGGGUAUUUUUUUGGAAUUCAAUACUUGUUGCAAUAAUUGCCCAUGAUAGCUGCUCACACAGGAGGGUUGGAAUUCAUCCGUGAAAAUCACUACAUGUAACAUAAGAGACCAGGAAAACACCGAUGAGAGAAGACCUGCAAAUAUGAUGCACGUGAAUAAUUUCCCCUUUAGGAGGCAUUCCUGGAUAUGGUAAGUACUUUUGGUUUCCUUAAUGCUGAAAGAAAAUGCACCUGUCUGAUGUAGAACAAAUGGCUUAUAAACUCAAAAAACAAAAGAUAAAAAUUCCAUGCUGACGGUAAAGAAUGGCCUGCGACCUGAUACUGGUAAGAAUGACAUCAGCAUGCAAACAUUCCUCUUUUUCCUAAGGGAAGGGGGCGAACCGCACAAGACGAUGGAGUAGGGAUUGUCUCUGUGAGAGUAAGGAGAAGACUGUAGGAAUGUUGCUGAAGUAUUUAUUCACACCUGCUUGUUACGUCGAUGAACAGGUGAUGUUUCUGAGCUGGCUUACUAUUUCCCAGAUUGGAAAUUAUCCACCUAAGUGCAGCUUUUAAACAUUUCCUAAACGUCCCAAAUGGAAACAGAUGCGGGCAAUGCUGAGGAACUGUUUGUCAUUUGUUUCUAAAAGGGAGUCAAAAAUAGAAAAUGUAGUAUUUUGAGUAUUUAAUUUUCACAUGUAUAGGUAUAAAGCGAUCUACUUAAAUAUUUCAGUGGCAUAUGAUCGUGUAUAGAUGUAUAAGCUUCGUCCAGAAAUAUUUUUAAAGCUUUUUAUAAGAAAUGGUUACAAUCUGGUUGAGAGGGAAAUACCAACAGACUGAAACCUAAUUUAUUUCACAUAUUGCUUACACCUUGUUUCUCAUUUUUAUGUAUAGCUCCUGUGUGUAUAUCAAAUAACAUGUAAAAUAUAGUUGAAAUUAUAAUGCCUCAGGGAUGUUUUGCUUUGGCUCUGGAUUUCCAGAUUUAAAUGUCUGUGGUAAAUAGUAUAUGUUCAUAUCGAUGUCAGUGUAGUCCUUUUAGUAACAACACAUUACAUUUAAUAUAAAUUAAAAUUUACUAUGAAAUAUAAAUGGGUAAAUGUAUGAAUAGAAAUAUAUGAACAUUUAACAUAAACAAAUUGCCAGGGUUCAGCAGGUUAAGAGACUGCUGCCUCAGACUGAGCCGUUUUCUCUGCUGGUCACUGGGCUUUCCUCACUGGGUGCCUGCUCUCCUGCAACACUCUCUCUGCUUCACACGGCUUUGUCUGUGUGCGCCUAUGAGCCCGUAUCCCGCACAAAACCUCCCUCAAGCACUUCAACCCAUGCUGGUUUAUCUCUGCCCGGAAAUCAUCCUUCAGUAGAGUCCCUGUGUGUUUGCUGGGGCUGCUGUAGCAAAGUACCACGGACUGGUGGCUUAAACAAAGAAACAAGCAAAUGCAUUUCCUUGUUGACCUAGAGGCUGAAAGUCUGAGAUUAAGGUGUCAGCUGGGUUGGUUUUUUCUGAGGCCUCUCUUCCUGGCUUAUAGAUUUGCCUUCUUCUCCCUGUGUCUUGACAUGUUCUUCCCCCUCUAUGUGUCCUAAUCUCUCCUUAAAAGACACCAGUCAUAUUGGAAUAGGGUCUACUAUAAAGACUUAAUUUUAACUUGAUUACCUCUUUAAAGACACUAUCUCCAAAUACAUUCACAUUAUGAUGUUAGGAUUUUGACGUAUGAAUUUGGGGGCAUAUAAUUCAGCCCAUUUUCAUCCAUAUGACAGUUCUCACUUUUUUUUUUAACCAUUUCAUGUAAAUUAGUUCUGUCUUCCCCAGUCUAAUUACAAAUCUCAAAGAUAAGGACCAAUCAUAUUUUUAAGUUGUAUUGGCUUUAUUCAUAGUACCUAGAGGGGAGGGUACAUGAUAUUAAAUAUUGAAGAUGUCUUGUUUAAUAUGUUGGAAAGAAUAAUGUGAAAGGACCAAGCGAGCAUUCUUUUGUCAGUUGUCACUGACUUUGGCUCCCUUAUCUUGACAGAAAGAAACCAGUACCAGACUUAGGUCCUGGGGUCAGGCGGGGGUCAAAUGCAGGCUGUCUACUUCACUGCAAGCAGACCCAUCAGCAUUCCUAUCAGCAAAGGCAAUCUGGUGAAAGGAAAUGCUGAUCCCUGCAAAUGGGUGAACGUGUGAAGGGCAUUGAACCAAGGCACAUACCACAGAAGACAAUUUGGGCUUGUAGAAAAUAAUUACCUAAUUAAGAAUCUUUGGAAUUGGAGUCAGGUUCUUGGAGGGUAAAGUCAUGAACACAUUAAUGGUCCCAAGGUACUAAGUUGAGUAUUCUGGAACUAAAAUAAAUUUUAGUUCUUGAAAUCAUGCUAUAACUUCUGAAAUCCUGCUUAACUCUUUACUAAUAAUUCUAAGUAUGAGCACUCUAAUUUAUAUUUAAGACAAUAAGCUCAUUAAAUUUUCAAACUUAAAAAGUUAACUCAGUUGGAAUACUUUCUUCAGUUCCACAAUUUCUAGGGCCAGCAUUCAAAAGUAUUUUUAGUGCUUUAAAAUAGAAUUGUCCUAAAUUCAAAUUAUACAAAUGCUCAUUUAAUGCAGUUAUAAACAUGGCUCCAGGUUUUUUUAAA